rnacentral:lncRNA from 1 species
GCUUUGCUCUCUGUGCCACUUCUGCUUGCAGUGGCGAGACAGAAUUUGUGGCAUAACAGCCCAGAUGGAAAUAGUGCACACUGAUUCCAGAGGCAGGCCAAAGCUCCAUAACACUUUCCUCAACGGCAUCCUCUUCUGUGUGGAAGAACCCUCCCGAGGCAAUUUCAUCUUCCCAUGAAGCAUUUUCCAGUCCCUCCUCUGCUGCGAGUGCACAGCUGCUGCUUCACAGCUCGAGGCAGGCAUGUGUAAAACAGCAGUUACAUUCAAAGUCUAAGAAAUUGGUUUGUGUGCAUUGGAUGAUUUUCCCUUCUCCAAAACCGGUGUGUGGCUUGUUUUCAUAGAUCCCAGUCUAUGAAAGGCACUAGGAGCCAAUGGGAGCCAUCGUAAUAUAAACGUUAAUUACAUGUGUGACAAUAAUG